AGAUGUGAACAAGCGCCAGGACUGCUUCGGCAGUUGACGAGGACCAGGUUGAUCGAAAGAUUCGGCGGAUGACCUGGAGGCCAGGUACAGCCUGAGGCAGCAGACAAAACCAGCCCGCGAGAGCUGAACAGACCUGCUGUCCGUACCCUC
rnacentral:ncRNA from 1 species